GACGAACGCUGGCGGCGUGCCUAAUACAUGCAAGUCGAGCGAAGGCUUUCUGGUGCUUGUGCUAGAAAAACUUAGCGGCGAACGGGAGAGUAACACGUAUAGAACCUGCCUCAUAGACUGGGACAAAUAUCGGAAACGAUAGCUAAUACCGGAUAACAGUAUUUCUCGCAUGCGAGAAAUUUAAAAGUUGGUUAUGCUAACACUAUGAGAUGGCUUUGCGGUGCAUUAGCUAGUUGGUGGGGUAAAGGCUCACCAAGGCGACGAUGCAUAGCCGACCUGAGAGGAUGAUCGGCCACACUGGGACUGAGACACGGCCCAGACUCCUACGGGAGGCAGCAGUAGGGAAUCUUGCGCAAUGGGCGAAAGCCUGACGGAGCAACGCCGCGUGAGUGAAGAAGGACUUCGGUUCGUAAAGCGCUGUUGUUAGGGAAGAAUGGAUAUGUAGUAACAACACAAGUAAGUGACGGUACCUGAAGAGAAAGCCACGGCUAACUACGUG
rnacentral:rRNA from 1 species